UAACACGUGGGGAACCUGCCCCAUAGUCUGGGAUACCACUUGGAAACAGGUGCUAAUACCGGAUAAGAAAGCGGAUCGCAUGAUCAGCUUUUAAAAGGCGGCGUAAGCUGUCGCUAUGGGAUGGCCCCGCGGUGCAUUAGCUAGUUGGUAAGGUAAAGGCUUACCAAGGCGAUGAUGCAUAGCCGAGUCGAGAGACUGAUCGGCCACAUUGGGACUGAGACACGGCCCAAACUCCUACGGGAGGCAGCAGGG
rnacentral:rRNA from 1 species